CAGUCGCCGCGGUAAGACAGAGGAUGCAAGCGUUAUCCGGAAUGAUUGGGCGUAAAGCGUCUGUAGGUGGCUUUUCAAGUCCGCCGUCAAAUCCCAGGGCUCAACCCUGGACAGGCGGUGGAAACUACCAAGCUGGAGUACGGUAGGGGCAGAGGGAAUUUCCGGUGGAGCGGUGGAAUGCGCAGAUAUCAGGAGGAACACCAAUAGCGAAGGCAGCUCGCUGGGACGUUACUGACACUGAGGCGCGAAAGCGUGGGGAGCAAACAGGAUUAGAUACCCCUGUAGUCCCUGUCUCUUAUAC
rnacentral:rRNA from 1 species